GCCAUCACAAGUCAACAAGUCACGCGUCAACGCAGCGCCGGCCUUUCCCUAGCAGCCAUUAAAAUACCUUACAAAGCUUUAGCUUUCCUUCCUCACAGUUCACAUCACAAUUAACAAGAAGAAAAGAAACCAUGUCUCUCUUCUGCCUUCUAUUCUCUCUUCUCCUCUUCUUGAGCCCUUUACCAUCCUCACAAGAGAACCUCACUUCUUUCUCCUCCUUAAAAUCCCCAUGGCUUCCAACCCAGAACAAGACCUUGCUCUCUCCCAACUCCACCUUCGCCGCCGGUUUUCUGCGGCUGAACGGUGGCUUCACCUUCUCAAUUUGGUAUAACAAUUUGUCAAUAAAGUACACCGUUGUUUGGUCAGCUAAUAGGGAUGGUUCUCCACUUCUACUUUCUAACGAAGCCUCUCUGUUCAUCACCUCCACUGGUGAGCUCCGCCUGACCAAUUCUUCUUCAGGCACAAACUUGUGGCCUGGUGCAGCUACAGGAAAUUCCAAUUUUACUGCACUUUCCUUGAAUGAAACUGGGAAUCUUGUUUAUGGCAAGUGGGAAAGCUUCAAAAAUCCAACUGAUACGUUCUUGCCUACCCAGAUCAUAAACAUAAAUGGAACUGAACUUGUCUCAAAUAAUGGUAAGUUCCGUUUCUCGAAUUCCAGUUCCCUUGUUUUCAAUGGAUCUGAAAUUUAUUACACGACACCUAGCCCGUUACAACAACUGAGGAAGGAUGGCAGCGUGGCUCAAGCAAACGGAAAUUCAAUAAUUUCUGCUGAUUUUAAUGCUACCGAUGUCCGGUUGCGGAGGUUGACACUUGACGACGAUGGCGUUCUAAGAAUAUACAGUUUCGAUCCAAAUCUGGGUCAAUGGUUUGUUGCUUGGCAGGCAAUUCAAGAACUCUGUAAAGUUCAUGGGGUUUGUGGGCGUAAUGCUAUCUGUAUGAGUGAUGGCUCAAAUACUACCUCCUGCGAGUGCCCACCAGGAUUCACGAAAAGUUCUGCAAAUAAAGAUGAUUGUGAAAGGAAAAUUGCUCUCUCCAAAAACACUAAGUUUCUUCGGCUCGAUUAUGUCAAUUUCACUGGAGGAUUAAAUCAGAGUAACCUGAAUGUCAGAAACGUCUCUACUUGUGAAGCAAGCUGCUUGAACAAGGAGAAUUGUCAAGGUUUUA
rnacentral:misc_RNA from 1 species